UACGGAGGUGGCAAGCGUUAUCCGGAAUUAUUGGGCGUAAAGCGCGCGCAGGCGGUUUCUUAAGUCUGAUGUGAAAGCCCACGGCUCAACCGUGGAGGGUCAUUGGAAACUGGGAGGCUUGAGUGCAGAAGAGGAAAGUGGAAUUCCAUGUGUAGCGGUGAAAUGCGUAGAGAUAUGGAGGAACACCAGUGGCGAAGGCGGCUUUCUGGUCUGUAACUGACGCUGAGGCGCGAAAGCGUGGGGAGCAAACAGG
rnacentral:rRNA from 1 species